rnacentral:rRNA from 1 species
CUGAUGGAGCGACGCCGCGUGGAGGAUAAGGUCUUCGGAUUGUAAACUCCUGUCAUGUGUGAACAAGGCAGCCAGGUUAAUACCUUGAGCUGAUUGAUGGUAACACAAGAGGAAGAGACGGCUAACUCUGUGCCAGCAGCCGCGGUAAUACAGAGGUCUCAAGCGUUGUUCGGAAUCACUGGGCGUAAAGGGUGCGUAGGUGGCGUGGUAAGUCAGAUGUGAAAGCCCGGGGCUCAACCUCGGAAUUGCAUCCGAUACUGCUAUGCUUGAGUACUGGAGAGGUGACUAGAAUUCUAGGUGUAGCAGUGAAAUGCGUAGAUAUCUAGAGGAAUACCAAAGGCGUAGGCAGGUCACUGGACAGUUACUGACACUGAGGCACGAAGGCCAGGGGAGCAAACGGGAUUAGAUACCCCGGUAGUCCUGGCAGUAAACGGUGCACACUUGGUGUGGGAGGAUUCGACCCCUCCUGUGCCGGAGCUAACGCGUUAAGUGUGCCGCCUGGGAAGUACGGUCGCAAGAUUAAAACUCAAAGAAAUUGACGGGGACCCGCACAAGCGGUGGAGUAUGUGGCUUAAUUCGAUGCAACGCGAAGAACCUUACCUGGUCUUGACAUGCAUCUUGUCGCUAGUGAAAGCUAGCUAGGGUAGCAAUACCCGAUUUGCACAGGUGCUGCAUGGCUGUCGUCAGCUCGUGUCGUGAGAUGUUGGGUUAAGUCCCGCAACGAGCGCAACCCCUGUGAAUUGUUGCCACCCGGUUUACCGGCGCACUCGAUUCANACUGCCUCGAUCAACGAGGAGGAAGGUGGGGAUGACGUCAAGUCCGUAUGGCCCUUACGACCAGGGCUGCACACGUACUACAAUGCUCAGCACAAUGUGAUCCGAUACCGCGAGG